rnacentral:rRNA from 1 species
AAACUUUCAACAACGGAUCUCUUGGUUCUGGCAUCGAUGAAGAACGCAGCGAAAUGCAAUAAGUAAUGUGAAUUGCAGAAUUCAGUGAAUCAUCAAAUCUU